UACGGAGGGGGCUAGCUUUGUUCGGAAUUACUGGGCGUAAAGCGCACGUAGGCGGCUUUGUAAGUUAGAGGUGAAAGCCCGGGGCUCAACUCCGGAAUUGCCUUUAAGACUGCAUCGCUAGAAUUGUGGAGAGGUAAGUGGAAUUCCGAGUGUAGAGGUGAAAUUCGUAGAUAUUCGGAAGAACACCAGUGGCGAAGGCGACUUACUGGACACAUAUUGACGCUGAGGUGCGAAAGCGUGGGGAGCAAACAGG
rnacentral:rRNA from 1 species